GGCAAUUGCAGGAAGACAAAGGAUGGUCUCAUCGUGAAGGCAGUUGAAUGAUGUUCCGAGAAUUGGAUUCUAUCCCCAUCUGUGCCACAGAGUUCCUGUGUGAUGCUGGACAAGUCACUGAAACCAAAUUUUUCACAGAUCAGUCUGCAUUAAAAUCCUGAUGGCCCCAAACUUCCCAGCUAGCUCCUAUCUAUAACAUGCUGCGCCAAAAUCCUGUAUGUGCAUUUAGGACAAGAAACAGCCAAACAAGUAAUCGUCUGCCAGCAAGCCUUGUAAGAAGUGGGAAUAUCUAGAUGC